rnacentral:misc_RNA from 1 species
AUCUGUGAACAACUGGUUCGAGCCUUUUUUGGUAAAAUAAAACCCAUUAAGCAAAGCCUGCGCAGUAUAUACAAAUAAUAGAACAAAACAGAGCUUCUAUACUAAUCUAGCCCCAAAGCAUUUCAUGCACUAAUAUACUCCAAAGGCAACUACAGAAUAAUGGAGUCUUUGCCCAAAAAGGCUCGAACCAGUUGUUCACAGAUUGUGAGCGAAAGAUUUCACUGGUCAAUUAUUCCUUCUAAAGUACUCAAAAGAAAGGACACGAAAAUUUUAGAAUAAAAGUAAUGUGAGAUAGAAUUACUCAGAAACAAAAAGGGAAAAAAUCGAAAAGAGGAUGAGGAGAAGGACAAGUAUUUAACAUGAGAUUACUGAG